rnacentral:rRNA from 1 species
AUUGAACGCUGGCGGCAUGCUUUACACAUGCAAGUCGAACGGUAACAGGUUAAGCUGACGAGUGGCGAACGGGUGAGUAAUGCAUCGGAACGUGCCCGCUCGUGGGGGAUAACACUUCGAAAGAAGUGCUAAUACCGCAUACGAUCUGAGGAUGAAAGCGGGGGACCGUAAGGCCUCGCGCGAUCGGAGCGGCCGGUGUCAGAUGAGGUAGUUGGUGGGGUAAAGGCUCACCAAGCCGCCGAUCUGUAGCUGGUCUGAGAGGAAGACCAGCCACACUGGGACUGAGACACGGCCGGGACUCCUACGGGAGGCAGCAGUGGGGAAUUUUGGACAAUGGGCGCAAGGCUGAGCCAGGAAUGCCGCGUGCAGGAAGAAGGCCUUCGGGGUGUAAACUGCUUUUGUACGGAGCGAAAAGGCUCCCUCUAAUACAGGGGGCUCAUGACGGUACCGUAAGAAUAAGCACCGGCUAACUACGUGCCAGCCGCCGCGGUAA